AACGUAGGUGGCGAGCGUUAUCCGGAUUUACUGGGCGUAAAGCGUGUGCAGGCGGCUUAUCAAGUGGUGUAUGAAAUAUCCAGGCUCAACCUGGAGGGGUUAUGCCAGACUGGUAGGCUAGAGUGCGAGAGAGGGGCGUGGAAUUCCGGGUGUAGUGGUGAAAUGCGUAGAGAUCCGGAGGAACCCCAGAGGCGAAGGCAGCUUGCUGGGACGGUACUGACGCUGAGACGCGAAAGCGUGGGGAGCGAACAGG
rnacentral:rRNA from 1 species